rnacentral:rRNA from 1 species
UACAGGGGGUGCAAACGUUGCUCGGAAUCAUUGGGCGUAAAGCGCACGUAGGCGGUCUGUUAUGUCGGAUGUGAAAUCCCUCAGCUCAACUGAGGAAGUGCGCCCGAAACUGCAGAGCUUGAGUACCGGAGAGGAUGGCGGAAUUCCCCAAGUAGAGGUGAAAUUCGUAGAUAUGGGGAGGAACACCGGUGGCGAAGGCGGCCAUCUGGACGGAUACUGACGCUGAGACGCGAAAGCGUGGGGAGCAAACAGG